AAAAUGCAUAAAACUUAAACAAGCAGAGGGAUCCGUCAUCCAUCGAUGUAAGUUAAAACAAAAGUCUUUUUUUUUUUUUUCGAGCUUCAGCUACCACCAAACUUAAACUUUAAUGUUGAGAAUAUCUUAUAAUCAAUAACUCUCUGGUUUCUUUCUUUUCAAAUAGAGCAAACUGUAGCUCAGAUUGCUUAAGACACAACAUGAUUUCUUUACGAAACAUACGAGCUCCACAAAAUUGUUGAGAAAGAGAGAAAACAUUAUUUGGGAUAGUGCAGUGCACACCCACCCAACUAAUAGUAUCACCCCAAAUUGAUCCAAAAAGGUACAAUUCAAGAAUAGAUGAUUAAAAUCAUCUAGAACUCCACACACCAGUUGAGCACAUAGCCAAGUCGUUACACAAACAACCACGAAAAUCUAAAAUGAACUUAGUAGCUAGGUAGCCUAUCAGUCUAUCACUAAGAAGUCUCUAAGCGAAAGUAUUAAUUUU
rnacentral:lncRNA from 1 species